ACGGGAUUUAGCCCGCAACCCGGGCUUGUGCCCUUGGCCGGAAUCAAACCCAAGAUUUUUCAAUCCGCAGGCCAACACUCUAUCCGCUGAGCCAAACCAGGUAGGGAAACUUUGUUUAUUUUUUAUGAUUCUACACCUCCCCAUGAACCUCAAAGGAGGAAACUUAAUGGUGACUCUUAAGAAUCAAAUCUCAGAGUGAAUUUCCUUGCCUCUAGCAAGAAUGAGCAGGCAGAUUUACCAUCCAUGUGAAAAUGUAGAGUGAGGCCUCUGACUAGCUGAUUGUGUAUUUUUUGAAUGUUUACAAAAAAUUGGGCUGCAUGUUCAGGUUGUGGCUAGAGGGAGCUUGGGCAGAUUUUCAAUUAUGCUUUCAAGCUGUAACCAAAGGGUGUUUCUAAAUCCAAAAAUUAGAAUUUUAACAGAGCCCCCUUUAAAACAGUCAUGUAAUGCUUGCUGUAGGCCAACAGAGGGGCUGUGUACUUUCUCUAAAAAACAUAAACACCAAAUAAUUCGUAAUAAGCAGUAAUGAGCAAAAUUAAAAUAAGAGCUGUUGGAAUUUAGCUUCCAAAAGUGGUAAGUUGGAUAGGUUAACAAGACAUAUUGUUACACGAUGAGUUUGUUUUCUGCCUUAUAAUUGGCCAAAGUUCAAAUGAUCACAUUUCAGAAUUUUUUAGCCAGCCUAUGGUUAGGCCUCAUCCCCUUUGACCUAAAUGUCUUACAAGUUAUUUGUUAGCACACCAGCUGUUUCGCUGAUCACCAUCCAUUGUUGUGGGAUGUGCUGCAGCAUUUCCCAAAGAACCUUACCCGUAACUUUGCAAAAUGAAUGUACUCAGACAUUCUCAAUUUUACGUAGGGCAGACCGACUUUGAGUCCUCUUCGGACUUAGCAGAUGUCUCAGAUAUCUUAGAGCAACUGUGGGAAUGUAAAACAUAACCUAAUUCUCUUUCCUAUAGAGAUUCUAUUUUAUUUAAAAUCUAUUUUUACACUAGUUAGAAUCCUGCUUUUUUGGUCAAGUACUUGUCUUGCAUGUCUGACCUUGCAGAAGCUGGGGUGGAUGGUAGCAUACUAAUGAAGAGAAUUACAAGUGCUUUCCAAAGCUCGCACACUCCUCGUUUCUCUGUGAUCACCUCUGUCAAGCAGCUCUGCCACCAGCUGGGAAAUGCGGUUUUCUGCACGGGUGGGAGAAAUGUUCUGAAAGCCUGUGCCCGGAGAAAUGAGCGAAUAGGCAAAUGUUUCCAAACUCCUGGAAGGUUUCUAAAAAACGUUGCUGAAAAUACAAAUCUUACUAAGAUAUGGAAAGAAAAUGUUUUCUAAAAACCUGUUUGAAUUUGACAAAAUUACAUCCGAUAGACGCCGUCAGUGUUUUCUUCGGGGUGGAAUGAACCACUUAACAUAUCCAUCCUACCUUGAACAAUGACAUUGCAUUAAAGUAACCAAACUUGGAAAUGAUUCUGUUUCAUGUGAAAUUUGUGUGUCUCCUAUUGACAUUUGCUUGGGAAUUUAUAUCUAAAUAAUGUAAGAAAGUGUCAAAAAAAAAAAAAAGUGUCAGUGGCCUGGAUUUUAAUCUUGCAACAAUAUAGUGAGCAGCUAUAGAUUAUUUUCAUUUUUCUGCCCCUUUGCUCCAACUUUCCUAACUAACAAUAAGUACCUGCACAGACACAGGAAUGGAAAAAUUACUUUAAUUUGGAGGCUCGGAGUAGGAGCAUCCCCAAGGCACAACCCUUGCAAACCAAAAGCAAUGAAUUUAUACACCUAAGACUUUUUCCUAGGUCCGACAUCAUGCUGAGAUAGUUUUAUUUUUGGAAACGUUCACAAAAUAGGUCUUCCUGGGAUACACUGGUAAGAUAAAGCACUGAGGCAGCGACCCCCUCCUUGCUUGCACAGUGGAAGUAUCCUCAUCAAAAGGGCUGAGAAACUCCUAAACAGGCAGCCAGCAGAGUGUGGAGAACUUGGCAGAUCACAAAUGAACGACCGUCUGUCAUCACUUGGAAAUCCCUCUCCUAGUGCAGUUGGGAUCCACAAGCUACAAAUACUACCUGUAAGAUUUGGCUGCUUACCACUGAUGCCACACUGCCUGUGAUGAAGUCCACGGGCUUAUCUAAAAAAGGGAAAGCCACUCACAACAUUUGAGGGAAGUUACUUUAUUUUCUCCAGGAUAAAACGGAAUUAACUGUCAGGUGAUUCUGCUCCGGUACUACUAUCUUGGCAGCAGAAGGCAUUUCUCAGGCGUCUCCAGCCCUGCCUCCUGCUCCCUCACGGCGCUGAGGGACAAUUAAACCACUCACAGACAUCGCCUUUGGCAAGUUCAGGAAGCCACCAAGACCCAGAGCUGAUCCAGGCACUUGGCACUCCCUGAGAAACCUGAGGCAGAAGCAAGUCCUGGACGUUGGACUCCAAGGCCAGCUCUACCUCUUGGAUUUCGAACCAUUUACCCAACUACAGUCACAGUGCUGAGCACUUGCCAUGUCCUGUGUUCAUUCAACCCACAACAUCUGCCUGGGAGCUAGACAACAUGCAUUUCCUUUAUCUGCACAAGGCUUGCUUCCAGAGAAUCCCCUCAACGCAGCACAGCUGGAAGGCAUGAAGGAACCAACACAGGCCCAGCAGAUGAAAUCAAGCAGACUUUGCAUGACUGAAGGCAGGUAAGGGGCAUCCUCACCUGUAUGAUGCUGGCACCUAGCACAUCCCCUGGAAUGUCUGAGGGAAUUUACGGUCAUAACCACUGGGAAUGUAUUGGAAAAGGCAACAAGGAAAAUGCCUGAGGAAUUAAGAAGAGUUGGCCAAGGUGAUUAUGACUGUGCACGCCUGGAAUGGUUUAGGGACAUGGUGGCAUUUGGGAUGAACCUGGAAGAUAGAGCUUCUGGCCUGCCUCUGUGUGGAAUGCUAAGGCAAUUUCAGAGAGUAUUGCUUUGAGCAAAUUCUGUGAGUUGGAGGAAUGGAUGUGUGAGAUGCCUUCAGCUGCAAGUAACAGAAUCCUAACUCAAAAUGGUUCCCACAAUGAGGGGGCUUAUUAUCUCACAAGGCAAGAAUGGAGGUAGGUCAAGUUCUGGAUGGGUUAAAUGAGCGGCUUAGCAACCUUACCAAAGGCCUGGUACAGAAGCCCUCUUGAGGCACUUUCCCUCGUUCCAUGAGGCCAAGUAUGAUUCACCUCCCAAGAUUUGGGGAAGGGCCUCCCCACCCCACUGUAGUGAUGGUUGUACAACUCUGUAAAGGUACUAAAAAACAUUGGAAUGUACACACUUUAAAUGGGUGAAUUAUAUAGAAUGUGAAUUUUAUGUCAGCAAAGCUAUAAAAAGAAUAGUCCAAGUUGGAUAUCUUAGGGAUUCUUCUCACUCAUUUGCCUUCCUCUCUUCCUUACCUGUCCUUCAUUUAUUUGAACAUGUAAAGAUAUAUA